CCAGUAGGGAAUCUUAGACAAUGGGGGCAACCCUGAUCUAGCCAUGCCGCGUGUGUGAUGAAGGCCCUAGGGUCGUAAAGCACUUUCGCCAGAGAUGAUAAUGACAGUAUCUGGUAAAGAAACCCCGGCUAACUCCGUGCCAGCAGCCGCGGUAAUACGGAGGGGGUUAGCGUUGUUCGGAAUUACUGGGCGUAAAGCGCACGUAGGCGGAUUAGUAAGUUAGAGGUGAAAUCCCAGGGCUCAACCCUGGAACUGCCUUUAAUACUGCUAGUCUUGAGUUCGAGAGAGGUAAGUGGAAUUCCGAGUGUAGAGGUGAAAUUCGUAGAUAUUCGGAGGAACACCAGUGGCGAAGGCGGCUUACUGGCUCGAUACUGACGCUGAGGUGCGAAAGUGUGGGGAGCAAACAGGAUUAGAUACCCUGGUAGUCCACACCGUAAACGAUGAAUGCCAGACGUCAGCAAGUAUACUUGUUGGUGUCACACCUAACGGAUUAAGCAUUCCGCCUGGGGAGUACGGUCGCAAGAUUAAACCA
rnacentral:rRNA from 1 species